rnacentral:rRNA from 1 species
GAUCAUGGCUCAGAUUGAACGCUGGCGGCAGGCCUAACACAUGCAAGUCGAGCGGAUGAAGAGAGCUUGCUCCCUGAUUCAGCGGCGGACGGGUGAGUAAUGCCUAGGAAUCUGCCUGAUGGUGGGGGACAACGUUUCGAAAGGAACGCUAAUACCGCAUACGUCCUACGGGAGAAAGCAGGGGACCUUCGGGCCUUGCGCUAUCAGAUGAGCCUAGGUCGGAUUAG